GUUUUCGUGGUGUAAUGGUGAACACGCUCGGCGCGUAUUCGAGAGGUCCGAGGUUCGAGCCCCGGUGAGGGCA
rnacentral:tRNA from 1 species